ACUCCAGGCGCAUAUUCAGCACUGUGGUGUCAGAGCCCAGCCCGGAACUGCCCUGGUUCAGCGUUGUUGGGUAUGUGGAUGAUCAGGUGAUCUUCGAAUACACCAGCGAGACGCAGAGGAUGGAGCCCCGCACAGCGUGGAUGGCGCAGAACGAGGGCCCAGAGUUUUGGGAUGAGCUGACCUGGCGUGCACGGCGCUUCCAGGUAUGGUUCAGAGCAAGUCUGAACGCCCUGCAUGAGCUGUACAACCACAGCAAGGGGUUUCACAUUAUCCAGAUGAUACAAGGCUGUGAUCUCCGGGAAGACGGCAUCAUUCAGGGGGUUCACCAGGAUUCAUAUGACGGACGAGACUUUCUUACCUUCGAUAUGGAGACCAUGACUUGGGUAGCAGCAGAUAUUGGGGCUCAGAUCACCAAGAGGAGAUGGGAUGCUGAAAUAUGUAACAACCAGCAGUGGAAAUACUACCUGGAGAAGGAAUGUAUCCCCUGGCUAAGAAAUUCUCUAGAGUAUGGGAAGGAGACUCUACAGAGGAAAGUGCGCCCAACAGCUAGAGUGAGUGACAGGGCAUCUCAUGACGGCCUCACCACCCUCUCCUGUAAGGUCAGUGGGUUCUACCCACGGGACAUCACCGUGACCUGGCUGAGAAAUGGGGAGAGCAGACAGCAGGAGACCUACUCUGAAGGCAUCCUACCCAGUGGGGACGGGACCUACCAGACCUGGGUGGCAAUGGAGAUUGACCCCACGAUCAAAGCCAAUUAUUCAUGUCAUGUGGAGCAUGAAAGCCUGUUAGAGCCACUCUCUGUCCCCUGGGAACCAAAUAACACUCUGAUUCCCAUUGUGGCUGGAGUUAUCACUGCAGCUGUCCUGAUUGGUGGUAUAAUCGGAGUAGUCGUCUGGAAAAAGAAAUGCCCAGGAAGAAAGGGAGACACUACGCUGUAGCAGGGUAAGUGACAAGAGACCCAUCGCCUCUUUUCAAGUGGCCACCUCUGAACAGCCAUCAGUAUUUGCUUGAGGAUUUUAGCCUGGAGCCACUGACAGGAGAUCCUCGCUCCCACUCAUAGGCCUUGUCUGCACUGAGAAUUCAAAUGACUAAGGAUCUAGUGGCUCUGACUGCAGUCCAGAGAUGGAGGUUGCAUUGCUUCCUCUGGGUGUGAAGACUUCUCCAGGGGUCCAGUCCAAAUAGACUCACUGAGGCGAGGUCACAGAGAGGAAGGCAUGCUGAGGGCUCAGAGUUGUGAUAGGGGGCGGUGGAGGAGCCUACGGCUUAAACCCCAAGCAGCAAAUAUGGUCAAGACACUAAAGAGCAGUUCCUCCCACAGGCUGUUGAAGCUGAUAGAGCAUGCGCCUGUUGCACAGAUUAACUAUCCUUAUAGAACAUUUUUCCUACUAUCUAACCUAAAUCUCCCUCACUGCAAAGUAAGCUGAUUCCCCUUUCUCCUAUCUUCAGUGCACCUGGAGAGCAGUUGAUCACCAUCCUGUCCCUAACAGCCCUUAACCUAACUUAUAUGAAGACCUCCCCCCCCAGUAUUCAUUUCUCAAGAAUAAAUAUGUCCAUUUUUUAACCUUGUGUCUUGCAUACAGUUAGGAUAUAGAUAUUCAGUCCUGUCUGUAAAGCCUUAUACUUUAAGAAUUUAGGUAUAUGUUUAUCAUUUAGCUAGUUAUAAGGUGUAAGCAGAAUCAGGAUGAGCUCUAGCUUGACAUCUGGUGGUGAAUUAUGGGGAGUGUGGAAAGAAUUUCAGGGAGUGUGGAAAGGAAUUUCAGGUGUUUGCAUUUGCACACCCACACCGCUUAGCAUAGCCCACGGCAGCCUGGGAUGGUUAUUUUGACAGCUCUGGGAUCCCCAAUUUCUCUG